CAAGACCAACGUUCCAGCCCUUAGGCUGUUCUUAUUCAUUAUUUUGAGACCUAGUAUCACUGGGCAGAAAUUACCUGUCAGACAGGGAGAACAGGAGGCCCUUCCUGGUGGUUAUUUAAGUACUUCUCUGCUGUUAGCAGAUCUGUGAGCUGGUUCUGGAACCCAUUGCCUAUCUUCUCGCUCGGUAAAGUUGUCCUGCUGCACACCACUAUGAAACUUUUGGCAUUCCUGCUCUUGACCGUCAUGGCAAGCCUCCUAGUAACUAGCCAAGACCCUUCUACCACUACCUCCAAGAAUGACACUGAUGAGCUUUCUCCACAGGUGAUCCCUUUACCACCACUUCUAUCAAAGCCUAUUAAGAUAAAUGGUAUAUGGAUUCCACCAUUCUUAAUUCCUGAGAUACCACAGAACAAUGGUUCAGUAUAGAUCUGAACAAGAAUAAGGCAAAUUUCAUCCACUUUUUUCCGUGUGAAUGUUACCCAGGUUGGCCUCUUAAGUUCAUCCACCUCUUUAUGAAACUCUCCCAACUCCUCUGUAUACCCAUUCCCCUUUAUAAACACCCUUUUAAUAAAGUAGAGAAUAAUUUUUGAUGUAAAAUCCUAUAUUACACCUUGUAUAAUUUUUUUAAAAAGAGAUUUGACUAGAUACCAAUUCCUCCUGGCUUGGUUGAUAUUUAGGAUUUUAUCUUAUACACAUUACCAUUUAGAAAAUGUCUAAUAAAAGUUUAUACUCUGAUAUUCAUCAAUGCUCUUAAAGCCAAAUUUGCCAAAAUCAGGUAUCUGAGCAUCUCUUAUUUGCAGGAAAACUUUCUAUAAUCUAUCCUCAUAGGAAGAGCAUGAGAGGUAGGCAUGAUUGUGGAUUUCAGUCUCUUAUUGCCUGUGAAAUACAUUUUCUACAUUUAGGAAAUCAUGAAGACAUGGUCUACUUCUCAGAGAAGGCACCUAUGGUUUUGACCCUUCUCCCUGGAGAUUGAGCAGGCAAGAGCUUUAUUAGAGUUUAGGACUGAGAUUUCAGGGAACUCUCCAAUCAUCAGGGGGUAUAUUAGUAAAUUUGCAAGGAAAGAAAUAGAUCAGAUAAAGAACUAAAGAAAGUUAGCACUGACAAAGCAUAUGUUAUGCAAAGCACCCCAUCAUUUUCUAACUCUGAAGGGACCUUAGUCCAAUUAGCCUCAUUUUCCAUCACUUGAAAGAAAGCAAUAUUAAUUUUACAUUGCUAAGAAAACUAAUAUUGAAUAUACCAUGGACUGCCAAAAGAAUGAA